rnacentral:rRNA from 1 species
UACGUAGGGCGCAAGCGUUUAUCCGGAAUUAUUGGGCGUAAAGAGCUCGUAGGCGGUUCAGCAAGUCGGGUGUGAAACCUCCAGGCUCAACCUGGAGACGCCACCCGAUACUGCUGUGACUUGAGUCCGGUAGGGGACCACGGGAAUUCCUGGUGUAGCGGUGAAAUGACGCAGAUAUCAGGAGGAACACCGGUGGCGAAGGCGGUGGUCUGGGCCGGAACUGACGCUGAGGAGCGAAAGCGUGGGGAGCGAACAGG